UCAUAACAUUUCAGUGUCAGACGUAUUUGCAUCUUCGAAAUGGAAAAUCCGUUGGUUUUGUCGGCAACGGCAGCAUCAGUAGGAGCAGUAGAUGAAAGAUGUAGAAGAGGACCAUUACAAAGUCACGACGCACAUUUCUCAUUUUUAUGGUUUUUGUAUGUGGGCGCAGCAGCAACAACAACAGCAACAGCAAUGACAAUUUAAUGCCUUUAAAACAGCAAAAUGCCGUUAAACCGGCAAAAGGAAAUAAUGUACAACAAGGAGCAUCCCGGACUGUCUACCGGAUUCGUGUUUCUGGUUUCUCUUAUUAUCCCGUUGUCGCCUGACAAAUAAACACUAUGUGUGUGUAUGUGUGGCGUUCACAUCCAGCAUAAGAGGCGGACCAAGUCUGGCACUGAAAAAAAAAAA